CCGCAUGGAGCNUACCUGCAGCCGAGCGGUAGAGAUCUUUCGGGAUCUUGAGAGCGGCGUACGGGUGCGGAACACGUGUGCAACCUGCCUUUAUCAGGGGGAUAGCCUUUCGAAAGGAAGAUUAAUACCCCAUAAUAUAAGAAACGGCAUCGUUUUUUAUUGAAAACUCCGGUGGAUAGAGAUGGGCACGCGCAAGAUUAGAUAGUUGGUGAGGUAACGGCUCACCAAGUCAACGAUCUUUAGGGGGCCUGAGAGGGUGAUCCCCCACACUGGUACUGAGACACGGACCAGACUCCUACGGGAGGCAGCAGUGAGGAAUAUUGGACAAUGGGUGCGAGCCUGAUCCAGCCAUCCCGCGUGAAGGACGACGGCCCUAUGGGUUGUAAACUUCUUUUGUAUAGGGAUAAACCUACCCUCGUGAGGGUAGCUGAAGGUACUAUACGAAUAAGCACCGGCUAACUCCGUGCCAGCAGCCGCGGUAAUACGGAGGGUGCAAGCGUUAUCCGGAUUUAUUGGGUUUAAAGGGUCCGUAGGCUGAUUUGUAAGUCAGUGGUGAAAUCUCACAGCUUAACUGUGAAACUGCCAUUGAUACUGCAGGUCUUGAGUGUUGUUGAAGUAGCUGGAAUAAGUAGUGUAGCGGUGAAAUGCAUAGAUAUUACUUAGAACACCAAUUGCGAAGGCAGGUUACUAAGCAACAACUGACGCUGAUGGACGAAAGCGUGGGGAGCGAACAGGAUUAGAUACCCUGGUAGUCCACGCCGUAAACGAUGCUAACUCGUUUUUGGGGCGCAAGUUUCAGAGACUAAACGAAAGUGAUAAGUUAGCCACCUGGGGAGUACGAACGCAAGUUUGAAACUCAAAGGAAUUGACGGGGGCCCGCACAAGCGGGGGAUUAUGUGGGUUAUUCGAUGAUACGCGAGGGAACUUACCAGGGCUUAAAGGGGAA
rnacentral:rRNA from 1 species